UCAACCGGCUUCCCCAGGAGUGGCGAUGCUUGGCGCAGGCAGCCCUCCCCUCCCCUCCUCUUCCUCACCUGAACCCUCCAGAUGCCAUUAUAACCCAGGACCCAGGUGGUGUCACCACCACCCUGCCAGGGGGUCUCUCUUCUCCCUUCCCUCCUCUCUCUCCCUCAUUAUCCUUCCUCGAACUUUAAGUCCUGUUCCUGGAAAUUCCAAGAUUCAUCUCUUUUUUUAGUUUUGGUUGUUUUCUUCUGAACAGGAACUUCCUAGUCCACCUUUUGUGGGGUUGUAGGGCAGCUGCCUCCCGGUUUGACGAGGGCUGCUGGUGUUUCUCCUGUAGGAAGGGAUCGUUCAGGAAGUCAGCCCUCCAGAAAUCCACAAAAACCAGAAAAGAGGUGAGCUUCGGUGGCAGCCCAAGCUGGGCACCGUAUCGUAAUAGUAGGGUCACAGCACAAGAUUAGAGAGUUGGAGCUGGAAAUAACUUCAGGGAGCAUCUAGCCGCUGCCUAUUAAUCCUGCUAGGAGAGCUUAACAACUCCAAUGUCCAAGCCCAACCUCAGAGGUUCUAAUUCAGUUGGUCUGAGGUGUGGUGUGAGCACUGGUAGUUUUUAAAGCUAACCAGAUGAGUCUAAUAUGCAGCCAGGGAUAAAAACCCACCAGUCCAACCCAAGCCCUCAGUUUUCAGGGAGAAGACUCAAGGCAGACAAGACUUUCAGCCAUCCCUCUCUCCGCCACGUGAUGCUAGCGGCAAGCAGUUAAGCUCAGUUCUCUAACUGGAACUUCCCGCUUCCCCUAGAUAGGGCAAGGCCCCCAAAGCUGGCAGAACAAAGUCCCUGUGGUGGCUCACAGGCUCCGCUCAGUGACAGAGAAGCAAAUAAGGCCCCUCCACGACCACCAGGCAAGAUGGCAUACACCUGGCUGCCACUGCCAUCAUGACAUCUUGUCAAUUACUGACGCACACCAUGGCCCCUGGAAGGACGGUGCCUGUGCAGGCUUUGUGAGCUGCAAAAUGCUAUGCAAAUGAAAACGUGAAAGUCCUUCCCGGUCCAACUUUCCGUGGGCUGUAGGGGAGCUGCCUCCCGGUUUGACAGGGGCUGAUGUUUCUCCCAUGCUAAGACAUCAUGCAAGAAGUCAGCCUUCCAGAAUCCACAAAGAGCCAGGAAAGAGGUGACCUGUGGUGGCGGCCCAAGCUGGGCACUGCAUCGUCACAGCACUGUCACAGACACAUCACAGUAAUGUCAUCGCUUUUGGCUUCUUCUCGGCAAAACAGCUGAGCCACAGGCUAGACGGUCAGCGGAGGGGCCUGCUCCACACCGAGCAGCUGCCUUUCAUACAGUCACAUGAUGAAAUAAAUGAAUGGAUUGAUC